AUAUAUAAGCAAAAAAUAAGAUGAGAAAACGAUAUAUUUUUUCUCGAAAACUAUUGUUGGGUACAAAUCAAAGUUCCCACAUCGGAAGUUUAGAAAAAGAGUUUCUAAUAUAUAAGUCAAGUCCAACUCCAACUAGUAUGAGACAUUUUGGGAAGGAACCCAAUAACAAAUCCUUGCGGGCUUGAACAUAUAAGCUCAAAGAGGACAAUAUCACACUAAAUAGGAGUUGAAAUGGGCUUAGAAAGCCCAUUAAAUGGUAUUAGAGCCUAGUUUGAAAAAGUGGACCUAGGACUUGGGCUAUGAUCGGUGUGGGAAAAUCUCUCAAACAUGACACGAUAAGAAGGUGCCUCAAAAGAGAGGCCCAAGUUCGUGGUCUUUGGUUUGAAGGGGAGAUUGUUGGGUACAAACCAAAGGUCCCACAUCGGAAGUUUAGAAAAAAGGGUUUCUAAUAUAUAAGCCAAGUCCAACUCUAACUAGUAUGAGGUCUUUUGGGAAGGAACCCAAUAACAAAUCCUUGCGGGCUUGAACAUAUAAGCUCAAAGAAGAUAAUAUCAUACUAAAUGAGAGUUGGAAUGGGCUUAGAAAGCCCAUAAACUAUAACAUCACAUCAGAUAGAACUCAAUAUAUAGCUCAAUAUAUGACCACGUUCCAAUGUCCCCGCAAAAUUACUUCUU
rnacentral:sRNA from 1 species